CAGAGUGCGCAGGCGCGGGCCCGCGGCAGGCCAGCUGCGGGCCGGGGGUUCCAGUGGACCGGAGGUGCUGGCUCCUGGGACGACUGCAUCGUUUCGGUCAGGUCGUGGCUUGCCACGCGAUGAGCGAGCUGCUCGGCGACCUUACCCCGGCUGCGUUAAGCUUUCAGACUUCGUCAUUCAUGAGUGAACUUGAACAACACCCGGACACACAGACGCCUCCUGGCAAGCCCGUGAGAAGAGGGACUGGACGCUACUUCUCCCAGCGAUGCUGGCUCCCGACCUCCUCGUUAAGGUUUUAUCCUCUCUCACUGACAGACAGAAAGGCAUAGUGGGCCUCGUCAGUGUGGAGGAGGGCCUCUGAAAACCGCUCAAGUGUCGCAGUAAGCCAUGCCAAGGUGCACCCACCUUUCUCUGUCCCUUCCUGGCCAGUCCUUGGAGAGACCAGGAAAUCCAGAAUUUCCUACAAGAACGCGGAAUCCUUUGGAAAUUUCAUCUUGAGUCAAGGAAGAAGAAUCACAUAGUGGCAAAGACAAUUUUCCAGGGUCUCCAGCCAAGGGCCAUAAAGAACUGGAAACAAUGUCCCCAGAUGCUGACAAGUUUGUGAGACCGGAAUAUUCAUGAGGCCAACAAGUGAACACUGGCCCGUCCUUAUGGAGAAGUCCUGCAGCAACCCUGGGCCAGAGCUGGGAGGAACACGUCCCCACAGGUGUUCUAUAAACGUGUCAUGCUGCCGCCCACCUUUCCCUUGGCAUAUGCGCUCCCUCUUUUUGAAGUAUUCAUCUCACUCUCUGGAGAAUUCCUGUUGCCCUUCCAAAACAGGGCUCAGGCAUCACUGUCUCGGGGACCCUGUCACUGGUCUUUUCAGGCAACCCUGGUUAGUGUCCAUUCCUUCUUUCUGCGCCCUGCAAAGAUCUCUACAGCAUUUGUGUUCUGUCACGUAGUAUCACUGUAACAUCUGUUUCUGUGAAAACUACUUUAACACAUUAUGAUAGUUUGCUUACCUCAUUCGUCAUUCCCUCCUGCCCCAUCCUUUCGCCCCUCAGUUCACUAUUCCUUUCUCUUGCACGAUUUCCAGUGCCGGCAGCAAUACCUGGCUUAGACCUGGUGUUAAACAAACAUUUACUGAGCAAACCAGUUUUUAAAAGAUUUUGAAUUUUCCCCCUUCUUUUAUUUUCCUUUGCAGCCUGAGAUUUUUAAAAACUAGAAAACCUUACGUGGGGAAAACAUGCUUAUAUUUCAUGAAACUGAUUCCUUUUUAAGACUUUGGCACAGGUGAUAGGUUCUUAAGAUUUCUCCUGUAGCACGCUAAAAAAACAUUCACAGCCUUGACUUGGAAGUGACUACCUAAUUAAACUCCUAAUCAAACUGUAUUUCUUCUAGUUAACAUGCUGUUCAGAACAUAGCAAGUAUAGUUAUAUAAUAAAUAUAAUUUCAAUGCAACAAAGAAAAAUAAUUCUGAAAACAAAAUUAGAAAUUGUGUAAAAAAUUUGGGAGAUGGUUAAAUGUAGUUUGGAAGUAACUAGAAAAAUAAAAGAGGAAGAGAACAGUUUUCU